rnacentral:rRNA from 1 species
GACGAACGCUGGCGGCGUGCUCUAUACAUGCAAGUCGAACGAUGAAGUUCCUUCGGGAAUGGAUUAGUGGCGAACGGGUGAGGAACACGUGAGAAACCUGCCUUUCAUUCUGGGAUAACACCGGGAAACCGGUGCUAAUACCGGAUACUCCGUCUUGGCGGCAUCGCCGAGCCGGGAAAAAAUUUUGAUGAAAGAUGGUCUCGCGGCCUAUCAGCUAGUUGGUGAGGUAAUGGCUCACCAAGGCGAUGACGGGUAGCCGGCCUGAGAGGGCGACCGGCCACACUGGGACUGAGACACGGCCCAGACUCCUACGGGAGGCAGCAGUAGGGAAUAUUGGGCAAUGGGCGCAAGCCUGACCCAGCGACGCCGCGUGAGGGAUGAAGGUCUUCGGAUUGUAAACCUCUUUCAGUAGGGAAGAAGCGAAAGUGACGGUACCUAAAGAAGAAGCACCGGCUAACUAUGUGCCAGCAGCCGCAGUAA